GCUCUCUGUUUUCUCUUCAGAUCGUAUAAAUCGUUACCAUUUUUUAAAGAUUUACGUGGAGGGGAACAACUGAGUUUUUAAAAUAAUUUUUGAGGCUCUACAUGGUAGAGC